UUCUGAUGGCUCAGAGGGUAAAGCGUCUGCCUGCAAUGCAGGAGACCUGGGUUCAAUCCCUGGGUCAGGAA
rfam:Ovis aries breed Texel chromosome 18, whole genome shotgun sequence.